GGCCAACGGCUGGAGAUGCCCUUACAACCAGCCUAAAAACCAAUCCCCAAUCUCGUUGGUUCGUCCUCCAACCACGAGGCUGCAGGGACACCUACCCAUGGCGGCGGCCACGGACCAUCCCUUGCCCUCCUUCCGCUGGCCGCUGCUGCGGCCUUGUGCCUCGCGGAGCCUGUGGUCGGCUGGUCGCCGACGGCGGUCGUCGUCGCCGCAGUGCAGCGCACGGAGGGUGGGGAGGCGCGAACGAUGGUACUUGCCCCGCGACGCGGUGUUCCCUGUGAGUUCUCCCUUUUCGGUAAUGAAUCUGAGAUGGUUUCAGUUCCGUAUUUUUGCAACUGAAUUUCAGAGGCUAGUUGCAGGAUUCAGACAAUAACACAGAGAAAAUAGAUAACUUUGGGAGUUAUUUUCAGAGCACAGAGAAAAGUUUUUUUUAGGCAAAGAAAAUAGAUAAGUUUGGGAGUGAUUUAGAGAGAUGGAUUAGAAGAUCACAGAGCAAAGUUGAGGCCCAACCCGUACAAGGGGCGGCCAGGAUUUAACUGAAUACAAGGAGGGAUGCCCAGUGCUGCACCCAACCCAUUAAGCUUACAUCCAGAGGCAAAAGAAUAUGGUAAAAGUAAAUCUAAAUUGCAGUAAAGCUGUUGUCGAAAAUGUUAACCGAGAUGUUUAGGAAACUGGUAGCCAUCGGAUGCAUCCCCAAUAGCAGCGAGAUAGCCCAGCGGCGCGAAUAUGUAAACUGUACAUGGUGCUGUAACAAAACAGGCUGUGUCUUACAUUCUUCAGAGUUAACUGUUGAUUCUUCAGGUUUCAGGUACAGAUCCUGACAAUAAAGCUUUGCACUUGGCAUCCACCUCCUCAUAAAGCAGGCGUUGGAUGAUGUAUUAUUAAAGUAUUAGUUGAUUGGAUAAUGGAUAGAACCUUAAUAUUAAAUAGAUACCAAUGUUUUAAAUAGCGGGCUAUAGGAAAUAGCAGCGGGCCUCCAAAAACAGCUAUAGCGAAGUUAUAACGGGAUAUAGCGGGCUAUUUAUAAAGGCGACCAUUUAGCGCCACCCUGCUGAAAAGGCUAUAGCCGAGCUAUAGCGGAGCUAUAGCCGGCUAUUUAAAACAUUGAUAGAUACUCCCUCCGGCUCAAAAUAAAUGUCUCAAGCUUAGUACAACUUUGUACUAAAGUUAAUACAAAGUUGAGACAUUUAUUUUGAGACGGAGGGAGUAUAAUAUUGUUGGUCGGCCCAUGCAUGCUCUCAAUAAUAGCAAACGCUCAUGACAGCCAUGAUUUCAGUAUUUCAAUCUGAACUGGUUUCAGUUAUUUUCCAAGAAAAAAAAAGUACUCGUUUGGGGAAGGCACGAACCCGGGAUCUUGCUGUGUAUGUGGCACUUUCCUUAAUCUAGUCGAAACCUGGAAAUGCAAAUGUGGUCUAAGCUGCAAAUUUAGCCCAGCACAUCGGUAGGUUCAGCCUAACAACUUGUCAAUCGCUUUUCAAGGCAUCCAUCCAAGCAGGCAUGCACAUGUAGACCUUUUGCGCAAGAAAGCUCAUACCUGCUACACUCCACUUUGUAGUGCCAUCCGCCUCCUCCUACAACAGGCAUUGCCAUGAUCUACUAGCAUUAUAUCCUAACCAUGCCGCCCCAGAGUGAAUAAUUAUAUUUCUGUGCAUAUCGUAUUGUUGGUCGGGCCCCUCUGUUGGGAACAGAAGUGCUGAACAGGAACUAGUCUAGAAAUAAAAAGAAACUGGAGGAGGACAAGGUUGUUCAUUGAGAAAUAACUUCCGAUGGCAGAUUCCUAAUUUUUGUUGUUUUUUGCAGGCGUGAAUUCUUAAUAUUUGGCAGUGAAACACUAAAAAUAGAGGUACAAGAUUCUAGAGAUACAAGACACAUGAGUGGUUUUCUUUGGAGGCAAUUGGGAAGGUUAUGCUGAUGAGAUUAUAUUUCCCAUGAGACAUAUUCUUAACCAAGUGCUGUUGGAGCUGUCUUGGGUACUGACUACUGAGUAGGUAGAUAUGUAGCAAUAGUGAGUGUCUUAAUUAAUUAAGCCACUGUGACAUUAUUUCUAGUUAAGUAUGGUUGGAGGCUCAAAAGUAGUUGUUUUCUUCUAUGCAUAUCCCUUGCUUUUUUUUGUCUUUGUAAUAAAGAAAAAAAACGUACAUACUGUUCCAAUUUGGAAUUCUGGUACUUAAGAACGGACCAGCCAAGCACUGUCCUAAUUGCCGCCAUCUCUCUCUGCUGCUACUUCCUGCUUGGACUUCGGUACAGCUAGCACCUGCUGUUACAGGUAUUGCCACUGUCACAUUUCACUCCACUUGUACAUACAUAUGCAUUUCGAUAUCGAUUGUCCAUGCCGCUUAUUUUCGCCCGUCUAACAAGCAUAUAUUUUAGUACUAGUAGCAAAAACAUUGUGGUAAAUCUAAGUGUUCAGUGCCUGUCAACACGAAUCAAUCCCCAAUUCCCUGUUAGUGCCGCGCGUUGCUCCUGCUCCAGGCCGCAAAGGGGGAUUCACCCUCGUCGCUUCCAUGCCGUGGCUCGACCCGGACAGGCUGUUAACUAACUUAACUCCUGGUUGCCAUCACAUGCGCUGGGAGUAUAGUAUUGUUGGUUGAUUGAAUGUAAGCUUGCACACUGCAUGGUCUCAACAAUAAAAAACAUCAUGAGACAUCUCAAGUAGGAACAUGCUUCAGACUGUAUUUAUCGACCUAGUUCGCCUUUUCCUUCCAAAUUUAGUAUGGACAAGCUGACAAAUGAUGAGCUGGUCUGAUGGAUGGAUCUGGCACGUACCUUCAGAUGCGAUUCCCAACUGUGAUCAGUAUUCUUAAUUUGUUUGUUCCUUGCGCUAGCUACUUGUUAAAAGUGUACAGCUAGUUGGCACUCGUUGGGUAGCUCCUGCAACAUGACAAUCAGAAUGGCAUUUAUGUUUACUUGAUAGUGUACUACUACUCGAUCAGUUGCUCUGUCCGUAGUUACUCUAGAGGUAGCAGUGUCAUACUCUGCAGUGCUGGUGCUCACUUUCUUCAGAGUUGGGAGGUAUUACACUGCCACUUUGUGAUCUCCUAGUUCACUACUGUGCAAUUAGGCUGUGCUUUCACCUUGUUUAAUUGUCGCUACUGAUUUUAUCUGUGUAUACUUGUUGCAUUCCAGGAUCAAGCUCUCAACAAUGGCUCGAGGGCCUUUGGACUUAUGGAAUGAGUGGGGAACCCGGAUCCUGGUUCUCUUGAGCCUCGGCUUCCAGGUCAUCCUCCAUCUCUUCGCCAAGGUGCGUCGUCGCAAAGCCAGCUCAGCUAUGCAGAGGUUCUUCCUCUGGCUGGCGUACCAGCUGUCCGACAUGACGGCGACGUACGCUGCCGGGCAGCUCUUCUUCAGCAGCACGCCGCAAGAGCACCACCUAGUCGCCUUCUGGGCUCCGUUCCUCCUGCUGCACCUUGGCGGCCCGGACAACAUUACCGCCUAUGCCCUCGAGGAUAGCAAGCUCUGGAAACGCCACUUUCUGAGCCUUUUGGUGCAGGUCCUGGGAGCUGGACAUGUCUUCUACAAGCAUAUCAUCGGCAGUGGGAUCUUGCUCAUGCUGGCUGCCAUCUUGAUAUUCGGUCUCGGCGUUGCCAAGUAUGGGGAGAGGACAUGUGCGCUCUGGUUCGCCAACUUCAGCAGGCUCCGGAGCUCUCUCAAGGUGUUACCACGUGACAAGCAUCACCAAAAAUUUUACACCGAGCAUCAACACGGCUACGACAACUCCAACGCUGAACUCCUGCAGCUUGCUCACUCCCUGUUUCAUAUCUGCAAGCGUGGGAUAGUUGAUUCCGUGAUGAUGGUGGAUCCAGAUAGCCUGAGUGAGCUGGAUUCUUUGGACAACACAACAAUCCAGGGCCUCAUGAAAGACCGUGAGCGCAUGUGGACGGUGAUGGAGAUGGAGCUCUCCCUUAUGUACGACAUCCUCUACACGAAGGCAAGUGUGAUCCACUCUUGGUUUGGCUACUGCAUCCGUGCCGUGUCGCCUCUUGCCAUUACCGCCUCUCUUGUGCUGUUCCAGUUGAGCGGCAAAGAUGGUGACAGCCAAGCCGAUGUUGUCGUCACAUACACCUUGUUGGUUGUUGCCUUGGUCCUGGAGACAAAAUCCCUUGUAGGUGCACUUGGAUCAAGCUGGGUGUUUGCCUUCUUGUGUGCUACACGAUGUAAUUGGCUUCGGCAUGCAGCUCUGUGCAGUGGAAGGUGGCACUGGCUUCGUCAGAGACUUGGAUCUCUCCGCCGGUCUUGGCCUGGAAAGGCGAUAAUUACACGGAACUCAAGGAGAUGGUCAGGCACCAUGGGACAGCACAACAUGUUGCAGUUUCGCACCGGAGAGAUGGAUUCGACCGGUCACCAGCUCGGCAGUCUUUUCAAGAUGGUGGGGCUCAGCGAGUCGUUUGAGAGAAGGUACUACUCAUGGACUGUUGAGGUCCCAGAGAAGGUCAAGGAGCGUGCACAGAAGGUGGACGACAUAGUCUCAACGGGUGAUAUAAACACAAUGGGCAUGCUCAGGUAUAAUUGGGGUAAAAUGGCGCUGAGUGAGAAGAAGUACCCUGGGCUGUACAUGGAGUUGGAGGACUGGCAUGGAGUUGACUUCCACGAGAGCAUCAUCAGCUGGCACAUCGCCACCGACUUGAUCCUCGCCGCAGGGCAGCCAAGCGGCCAUGAUGCAGCUGACGGCCGUGUGGAGGCUGUCAGGGCACUGUCCAACUACAUGAUGUUCCUCCUGGUGGAUCGCCCCGACAUGCUACCAGGCCUUCCUCAGAACUGGCUGUACAAGAAAACCUGCACCAAUCUGGACGACUUGUGUAAAGAACGCCUAGUUGGUUCUCGAGGCAACAUCUUCACCGCGCUCAAGAGAUUGUUCGGACCACGCCAUCACCGCCGCUGCUUAAAUCCUUCUAAGCUCGAGAAGGAGCUUGCCGGGAUCAUACUGGAGCUGCCACACGAGGAGAAUUUCAACUACUACGAAACUCCUCGGCUCAUGUACGCACGCAAGAUUGCUCGGAUACUGCGCCGUAGGGACGAAGAUGCAGUGGUUGUGCUGCUAGACGUGUGGACCGACUUCAUGGCCUAUGCAGCCAACCGGUGCAGCAGGGAGGCGCACGCCAGGAACCUGAACAGCGGCGUGACAUCGCGUUUCAGUGAAUGCAGUGGACAUGGAUUAACUGGGUCUGUUUGCUUGAAAAGAUGAGUCUGGCAAAGUGUCCUGUCAAUGGCAAGGUGCUGGAGGUGGCAUCAAAUUCAGUGUGUCCAUGGCUUCUUCUGCAGCCACUGCUGCAGCAGCAACAGGUUGAAAACAAAACAAGGCAAGGUAACAGCAGCCUGGGUUUGCUACCAUACUUCGCCGGGAAGAUCUUUGCUGGCCUGAAACAUUACACUGGCCAACCGGAUUCCUAGCAAGAUCAGGAGGAUCAGUUUUCAGUUGCUUCACCAAAAACUUUCAGAAGAACCUAUUCUGAUGGCCUUAUUGUUAGCUCUCUGAACUUAAAUCGCAAUGGUGAUGCUCUCAUCUUGCUGGCAGAGUGCUGAAGGGACAUGCAAAACUCAUAUUUAUAUGCUGUUAUAAGUUUCAGAGGUAUGGGGCUAAUAUUUUAGCCCCUUUAUCUGGUCUGUUUUUGUCCCAGCAAAUGGAAUUCCGGGCCAUAAUAAAGCAGUGAGCUCGUAUAGCAUAACUUGCUCAAGAGAAACAUUGUGAAACCAGUUGACAGGACUUUUCCUCGAAAAAUGGAACCGUUCAUCAUCAAUAUUUUUGGUUAUGGAAUCAAUUGUCUGAUACACUUUGUUAAUGUCACAUGUGUGCUACCUUUAACAAGGGAGCUGUUCCAUGACAACGAUUUGUUAAUUCUAAAAUGUUCAACUAGCUGUGUAGCAUCCAAUGGCUAGCUAGUGCAUGUGCAACUCUGCAAGCAUGUGAAAUUUCAUAGAGAUUUGUGCUCAGCAUCGAUCUAGUUU